AGGGUUUGAUCAUGGCUCAGAUUGAACGCUGGCGGCAGGCCUAACACAUGCAAGUCGAGCGGAAACGACACUAACAAUCCUUCGGGUGCGUUAAUGGGCGUCGAGCGGCGGACGGGUGAGUAAUGCCUAGGAAAUUGCCUUGAUGUGGGGGAUAACCAUUGGAAACGAUGGCUAAUACCGCAUGAUGCCUACGGGCCAAAGAGGGGGACCUUCGGGCCUCUCGCGUCAAGAUAUGCCUAGGUGGGAUUAGCUAGUUGGUGAGGUAAUGGCUCACCAAGGCGACGAUCCCUAGCUGGUCUGAGAGGAUGAUCAGCCACACUGGAACUGAGACACGGUCCAGACUCCUACGGGAGGCAGCAGUGGGGAAUAUUGGACAAUGGGGGCAACCCUGAUCCAGCCAUGCCGCGUGUGUGAAGAAGGCCCUCGGGUUGUAAAGCACUUUCAGCGAGGAAGAACGCCUGUCGGUUAAUACCCGGCAGGAAAGACAUCACUCGCAGAAGAAGCACCGGCUAACUCCGUGCCAGCCGCCGCGGUAAUAC
rnacentral:rRNA from 1 species